GUUAAAAUGUAAAUUCAGAUUAUGAUGUGAUAAUAGCCCGUUUAGCCAUAAAGAAACAAGCCAUAACACAUUUAGUUACUAAGCCGAAAUAACAGUGCACACGAGCCACCAUCCUGCGACCCCCUGACAUGGGCUACUUGCUUGAAAUACAAGCAAGAAUUGUUGAUUUUCUUGCACUGCCAAAGUGACAAAUCCACAUCCGCCAACGACAACGUCGUCAUCGAAACUCGGCAGAAAAGGCAGACGGAUCGGUGUGAGCUGCGGCAAAAACGCGGUCCGAAAGAAAGUGGAGGAAAUUGCUCCGUAAUAUCAACCACGGGGUGAAUUGACACCGAAUCCCGGAGCUUGGGCAGGAGCAGUGCCCAACACAGGAGGUAAGAGUGACCGAAAAUUCCGGAUGAUAACGAAAAUCUAAUCGCUUGUGCCACCCACGAUUUUUCUACAGAAACAGAUCGCACUAUCGGUCUGGAAACAUCACGCUCUACAAAUCUUGUACAAGAUCCGGCAAGCUGCUGCACAAUUCGGCAAGCUCGCACUGAGUUUUUCCUGCGGUGCGAACGCGAAUAAAAGUGUCCGAAGGAGGAACGUGUCAGCCAUCAUCCGGUUAGAGGGUCGGGGUCGGCAAGAUUGACCGCACACGACGGCGUAGUCAGCGAGUCCGGACCGAGCCACACACACCGCGAAUUCACGGAGGAAAAACGGGUGUCCGGGCAGCGACCUGAAUACGGGUAGGACGAUCUGCACCAUUGCGAACUGGCAACCCACAUCUUUCCGAAGCGCUGAUUCCUUGGCCUGCACGUAUCCAUAGGAACGCUCCGGCUCUUGGUCACUCAACGGAAUCGAUCGGAUCACCCUGUUAUCCGUGCGCGGUGCCAAACGCUUCGCUUCAACUGAACCGUCUCGAGAAAAGGCCUUUCAUAGAAAGUAAGUCUAAUUGCUGCAACAAAACGAUCUGGGGCUAACACGGGCGGAUUUCCGCAGGGUCUUUUCUUUUGUCUUUUGGACUUUCGCAGACAGUACUCCGACGGGUAAGCUGCCAACAAGAAAACACUCGCCAAGAUUGAGUGGCCACCACCUGACGCGUCCGGAAAAGCCGGUGUGCAGCGCAGCGAGAUGCGAUCUGUGGAGGGUUGUCGUCGUCCAAACUAAGAGCCGUCCGAUCGUCGGGAAUGGCCCAUGUCAGCAGCAGCCGGUCCGUGAGUAGCUAGUUAAGCAAAACAAUGUUUUAGUAUUAAGAAAGAAACCAGUUAGGCAGAAUAGGGUCAGUGCAGGAAUCUGAUUGAAUACAUGGCUUGGUUAUGAAACCGUAAUCUGAUCAUUAGUUGGCGUUUGAUUUUGUGCUAGCCGAGACGACUGUAAGCCAUUUCUUCUACUUAGGUCGAAC